rnacentral:pre_miRNA from 1 species
AAUAGUCUCAUGUCACAUUAGCAUUUUCAUCUUGAAUUUCAGCAUUUUCAUCCUAAAAAAAUAAAAUCCAAAUUAAAAUUCUCAAAUUUAAGAUAAGAAUACUGAUGUGGCAUAAAACUAUU